CCUACGGGAGGCAGCAGUGGGGAAUAUUGGACAAUGGGGGCAACCCUGAUCCAGCCAUGCCGCGUGUGUGAAGAAGGCCUUCGGGUUGUAAAGCACUUUAAGCGGGGAGGAAGGGCUUUGGGUUAAUAACCUGGAGCAUUGACGUUACCCGCAGAAUAAGCACCGGCUAACUCUGUGCCAGCAGCCGCGGUAAUACAGAGGGUGCAAGCGUUAAUCGGAAUUACUGGGCGUAAAGCGCGCGUAGGCGGUUGUGCAAGUUGGAGGUGAAAUCCCCGGGCUUAACCUGGGCACUGCCUUCAAAACUGCACGGCUAGAGUAUGGGAGAGGAAGGUAGAAUUCCAGGUGUAGCGGUGAAAUGCGUAGAGAUCUGGAGGAAUACCGAUGGCGAAGGCAGCCUUCUGGCCUAAUACUGACGCUGAGGUGCGAAAGCACGGGGAGCAAACAGGAUUAGAUACCCUGGUAGUCCAUGCCGUAAACGAUGUCAACUAGUUGUUGGGAGACUUGAUCUCUUAGUGACGCAGCUAACGCAUUAAGUUGACCGCCUGGGGAUACGGUCGCAAGCUAAAACUCAAAGGAUUAACGG
rnacentral:rRNA from 1 species